AUGCCACCAUCCACUCGUCGAAGCAGUGACUCAGUGAGGAGCAGCUCUGCUCCCAUGAAGCAGCCAGCAGACGGCAGAAGAAAAGAGGAAGUGGAAACAUCAGCACUAUCUCUACGGCAGAGGAGAGAGAGAGAGAGAGAGAGAGAGAGAGAGAGAGAGAGAGAGAGAAAACACCAGUGCGUGUGUGUAUCACACACACACACACACACACACAUACAUACACACAAACUCCGGACAUCAGCCUAUUCAGUGGAAGAAGUGUCCUCGCUUCGUCAGAGAAGAGACCUGCACAUCUGCUGCAGUAUAGGUAAAAACGCAUGAAAAAUUUGAUUUCACUCUGCUUCACUUACAUUAAAGUAACAAAGAGUGUUGUACACAUAAAGGGAACAGGCAUCUUCUUAUUAAAAUAACUUACAGUUUCUGGCAGAUUAAUUUGACCUUCAUCAUGUAACUGAUGUAAGAUAGGGGACCAAUUUUACACACCAAAGUCUGUUGGCAUGUCUUGGUGUGUACUACUGCAUAUGUGAAAAAAGUUGUAUAAAGCCAUUUGUGGCUCCAGGGGGCGCUGCACGAAUUCUGAUAAACUGCCUUAGGUGAUGUAAUUUGAGGCAGUGUUGAUUGGGGCUGAAGACUACAAGUUUGAAAAUGGAAAAAUCUGAAGGUGUGGAGUUGGGUUGAGUUUACCAGACCUCUGUGGUCCACUCCUCAUCUCUGCUUGAGGCAAGUAACUCAAGGUUAAAUUAGCCGCUACUAGCAUAACACACCUGAAUCUCCAACUGAAUUAUAGGUCGUUGAGUUGCAUUGUGGGUAAUGUGGGCACCAGGUUUUGUAAGGUAAGAAGAUUGAGUGGAAUUAAAAAGAUGAUAUCUCUGGCCAAGCUGCAUUUAUUUUUCAUAAUUUUUAAAAAAAACAGUCUGACAAUAUUUUAGGAUUGAAAUGCUAAAUGAUGAUGUAGGACUCUUUUAAUAGUCAGCCACCAAAGGCUUCCAGGAUUGUGCUUUUAACCUCCAGUACUGUGUGUGUCAGGCUGAUCAGUUACAGAGUACUUUGGUGAAGUCCUGUUAAGUCCUCAAGAGCUAAGGGCUGUCCCCCCCUGCAAAAUCAAGUGCUUGAGGGCUCUCUGGCUGACUUCUGGAGUCCUUUAUGUGCCCUUUCUUUGAAAUACUGCAGACUUUGCUUGAGGGAAUUAGUCGCAAUUCAUCAUAUCCUCCUUUAUGUUAAAAAUGUGGAUGACAAGGAAUUAAAAACCUAAGAACAGCCUGUUUAUUUUAUUAAAUCAUUGAUUUAUUUUCAUCUAAUUGAUAAAUCCACAAUACUGAUAAUCUACAAGCAUUAUAUUAAGAAAAUGGCCUACAAACGGACACAUU
rnacentral:lncRNA from 15 species